rnacentral:rRNA from 1 species
AGUGAACGCUGGCGGUAGGCCUAACACAUGCAAGUCGAACGGCAGCACAGUAAGAGCUUGCUCUUACGGGUGGCGAGUGGCGGACGGGUGAGGAAUACAUCGGAAUCUACUUUUUCGUGGGGGAUAACGUAGGGAAACUUACGCUAAUACCGCAUACGACCUACGGGUGAAAGCAGGGGAUCUUCGGACCUUGCGCGAUUGAAUGAGCCGAUGUCGGAUUAGCUAGUUGGCGGGGUAAAGGCCCACCAAGGCGACGAUCCGUAGCUGGUCUGAGGGGAUGAUCAGCCACACUGGAACUGAGACACGGUCCAGACUCCUACGGGAGGCAGCAGUGGGGAAUAUUGGACAAUGGGUGCAAGCCUGAUCCAGCCAUACCGCGUGGGUGAAGAAGGCCUUCGGGUUGUAAAGCCCUUUUGUUGGGAAAGAAAAGCAGCAGGUUAAUACCCCGCUGUUCUGACGGUACCCAAAGAAUAAGCACCGGCUAACUUCGUG